AAGAUGAGCAGGGAGAUACCAUGAUCAACAGGCUUUCCCCAGGUGAGGCCUGUCCCUUGCACGCCAGGCAGGCUGACCACUGUGAGUUUCCCAAAUGCAGGAAACUCAACUGCACAAUUUUGUGGUAAUGGGGGACCAUGUUUGCACUUUUCCCCU
rnacentral:snRNA from 12 species